CAGUUGGUCUACCCCGGAAGGUGCUUCGCCUCUCACCUGGGUGGGGACGGCUGCAGGGCCAUCUAGAGCUCACUGAGGCUUGUCAUUGAAAAAAAAAAAAAAAAGUUGGUAUAAAGUGAACCAGGCCUGAAGUCCCGAAGUGUCACUUCCGGGAGCCAAAGCAACCAGCUGCAAUUGUAGUUUUUUCUCAAGAGAUCUAUGGAGAACAGCAUGAGCAUCAGCUUCAGAGGGGAGGGCAGAAGAGGAGACAAAGGUCAGGGCAAGAGAGGCUUCAGCUCCCACAGCUGUAGGAAAGGGACACGCUUUCAAGCUCUGGACAGGAGGGAGCAGCACGGCCCUACAGACAGGCAGUCCCAUUUCCUCUUCAUCAGCUGGAACCACGCCUGGCUGGACUGUCCUCUGCUGGAGCUGCCCUCGGAGAGAUUCUGCACAUCUGUGACUCACUUCAAGCCAAUUACACCAGGCCAGGGGC
rnacentral:lncRNA from 1 species